rnacentral:rRNA from 1 species
UACGUAGGGUGCGAGCGUUGUCCGGAAUUACUGGGCGUAAAGAGCUCGUAGGUGGUUUGUCACGUCGUCUGUGAAAUUCCGGGGCUUAACCUCGGGCGUGCAGGCGAUACGGGCAAUACUUGAGUGCUGUAGGGGAGACUGGAAUUCCUGGUGUAGCGGUGGAAUGCGCAGAGAUCAGGAGGAAUACCGAAGGCGAAGGCAGUCUUCCAAGCCGUUAUUGACGCUCAACUGCGAAGGUGUGGGUAUCAAACAGGAUUAGAUACACG